AGUGACCAGAAGGGGUGGAGCCAGGAUCUACCCCUUCCCAGACCUCAUUUAAGGGUUGGCAGUGGAAGCAAAGGUAUCUUGCUGGAGAUCCCUGUGUACCUGAAGGCUUCCAAAGGUGAGCAAAUUGUUUUUUUCCUUUGUUCCUGUGUUUACAGCUGCUGCAUUUGAGCAUAUGGCAUGCUACAGAGCUAGCAAUUGCUUGAAAUGGGGUCAGCAGAACCCAAGGCUGCCUGCAUCCAUUGUCCCAGGGCUCUUCUUGCAGGGGAGGACUCACAUCACCCCUCCACAAGGGCUUUAAGUCUCAGAGAAGGCAGAAGUUUCUCCUUUGACAGUGCUGACCUCCAGCCAGUGGCCAAAAAAUCUGCAGUUUUGCAGGCAUGAAUUCUGCUCCUCAUUUACCUCCUCUUUGUAAAUGCUCUCCACUGCAAACAGCCUCCUUUGUCAGGUCUGUAAGGGUGUUUCAAGAAACCAAGUUAUUUUUAUAGCUUAUGACAUGUCUGCAGCUCUCAGCUGCCCAGCAUUAGUAAACAAGGCUACUGAGCUACUCCCAGCUCCAAUGGCUUGUGGAGUGAUUAAGAACAGCUUUAAUUUGAGGUCUGCAGCUCCUAAAGGAUUGAUGAAAUAUAUAUAGCAAUUGCCAGCUCCACCUCUGGAAGCCAAACGUUUUCCAGAUGAUUAAUGGCACCCAUUUCCUUCCUCUCCCUGCCACCAAAGAAGGCAGAUUCCCUGUAAAGUCUAACCAGUGCCUGGCUCACGUUUUAAGUGUGAUGCUGUAACACAAAGGGAAAUGCAGCAAUGGUAGUGGAAUAGCAAAGUCCUGGGCUGCAGGAAGUUCUCUCUACCCUGAAGGUCCUAUAUCAGAUCACAGCAGCAGUUACUUUCAGAGAUCUGUGGCUACAAGUUACCAUAGAAUCACAAGGGUGGAAAGGACCUACAAGAUCCUAUUCUCCUAUUGCUGUUGCUGGAGUUAGCUUUUCAUGCUGUCUAAACUUGUACUCCUUGUGGAGCUACAGAAGUCUGGUCAGGUAGCUGAUCUAUUUUAACUGUUAUUGAAAGGCCAGUUAUGAGCAAAAAACAUGAAGCUCACCUUGCAAACAUGUGCAAGUAUUUGCCUGUUAGUUUGGGAAGUUUGGUGCUUUUUUGCACCCAGAGCCUCAAAGAUUUUUCUCACUUUGACUGCGCCUGUUCACGAGCUCCCUCCAUCAGAAUGUGAAGCAGCAGCAGUGGAUAGCAGGAAAGGCACCAGGCUUGCUGUAGCUCUCUAACGCAAGGCACUGUCAGAUCAAUUGAAGAGCUCUCCUGUGAAGUGUGUCAGAGUGUUUCGGAAAGGGCCUCCUGUGACUCCUCACUUUGAGAGCAGCAGCAUGAAGCUCAGCUGAGAAGUCCAGUGUGAGAUUGGUACUGCAGUGGCCAAGGCCGUUGUUUGAGUGUUAUCUUUCCUACCUUGCACAACCCGGGGGAGAAAGCUGCAGAGUGCUGACAGGCUGCAGAGACUUUCUGCUCUUCAAAGCUAUUUUCUGCACAGGGCAGUACCUGAAAGUCAAAUCGUUCUGCCCUCAAAGAAGAAAGAUUCAUAUCUACCCGGAGGACCUUUCCCUGGUGCAGUGCAGCGUAGUGGCCAUUGCAAAAACCUCCAGAAGCAGAAAUAAAUGUAAGUAUCAAUUGCAGCCUAAAAUUCCCGCGUCAAACUUAUUGCUUCAGUCUCCGUGUUAGAAGAGAGAGGUGAAGGUUUCCUUUGUGACAAAUUGGAUGCUAGCUGUCCCCUCCAGCAAUGGAGAGAUAACAAGUCCUAAUAAAACCACUUCUCGACUUCACAGGAACAAAUUUCUGCUGCUUCCCCUACAAAAGACUUUCCUUAGCUGAUAUCCUGCCCUGUCAGCAAGUGUUUUGGGAAUUGGUGGCCUCUAAGCAGAACCACCUUUGCAUGUCUUGUGAUACAGUAACACCAAGCUGUUCAGAACUGCAUGCUUUCUCAUGUAAUAGGAAACUCACUUUUUUUUUCUCUCCUCCUGUCUGGCUCCAAGCAACCAAAAUCCUUCAAUAUUUGGAAGAUAAAUGCAUUCAGAGCCAGCAGAGGCCACCGGAGCCACAGGCUAUACUGCUUCCUGCUCUCUGAAGACGUGAAUGAGGAGAGAUGCUGUUGCUCCCAAAUACAACGUAGAGCUUGUUAGAACAGGGGAAGCUGUUCUGUGUGGCCCUUCCUGCAGGGACAAGGGGUUAAAAAAGCAAACCUGGGCAUUUGUGAGGUAAGCACAAAAUGCUGACAGCAGGAAGCCCCUCAGGUUAUAAUGGAUGCAGCUUCACUGUUGAGGCUACAUUUCCAUAACAGAUUGUGGGGGUUAUACAGUCAGUCCCUUUUUAGGACUUCAUAGGCAGUGCUUGGAGACACAAGGGCAUUUCUUGAUGGAAAUAUGAAGGGACUUUCAGCAACACUGACAUGAAGCUUCUUCAAAAUCCAGGCAAGGCAAUAAAGCCUUUUUGCAAUGGAUACAGGGCUCAUGGCCUCAUCAAAGCCCCCUCCAGAAGCAAGAAGUGUGUUAGAAAAACUGGCCACUUAUACAGCUACUGUGGCCAUUCCAUCUCAUAAUUAAAUGAGACAAAGCUUGCAAGAUUUCAACAGGUAAAAGUUUGCAGCCGGGGUCAAGCUUCUGCCUCCUCAUGCUGCAUGCCAGCUUUCUGCUCUCUCUCAUCUAUCAAAGUAAUUAUGCCCAUUACGUUUUUCCUUUCAGGUUUUACCCUCCCAAAUGUUAUUCCUCUGUAUUAAACCUGUGGGGGAAGUGAAUUAUUGGGGGAAGUAACCAGGUUUAAUCCAGGUUUAAUAGGCACAUAGAAAAAGCGUGCUGGGCUGGGAGGGUGGUCCAGUCAGCAUCCUGCUUCUGCAGGCAAAUAGAAAUUGGUCUUGAUGUGUGUAUAUAUCCAGCUUUGUGAUCGGUGAGCUCUUAAUAAUUGGUUUGGUGACCUGCCACCAGUGUUCUCUCUCUGUAGAGCUUUCUCCAGUCCCUGGUUAAUACAACGGGUCACAAAUCCCAUUUGCUUUUGAAUUCUGAGUAAUCCUUUCGUUAAUGCUGCCUAGUGCUUUUUUGGAAGCAUUGAAGGAAAUUGGAGCCCUGUGCUAAUCAGUAACUCUGGCUCUGCAUGUUUGCGAGCUGCUGCCCUGGCUGGCUUUUCCAAAUGACCGCUGCAGCCUGUUUAUGUCAAACACCAACGUGUGCCUCUACAAAGCAGCAAUUGCCUCCGAGCCGUGGUAUUACCCAGGGCACGGGCUGGGAAUGUUGGCUGAGCUUUAGGAGAGCGGUGAGGUGUAAUGGGGUGAUUGCUGGUGCCAUGUUCCUGCUGUUUGUGGGUUGCCCAUGGGUUGAACCGGUUGGGGAACUUUAAUGGUGUCUUCAACAGCUGCAGCAUCUGAGUAAUGGUUGGUGUCUCUUGGCUCUGCUUUAAAUUUUUGUUUCUUGUUUGUUGUUUUUCCUUUUCCUCUGUAGUCUGUCAAUCUCCACGUUGCUGACAAGCAUCACUGCUCGCCCUUUUCCCUCACCCUCCCUGUUCCUAGCCUGUCUGUGGCAUUCCUCACACAAUGCGUGCACGCACCAUUCUGUUUGGAGCUGCUGACAACAGCUUUAUGACCUUGAGGAUAGCAGCACAUUGCAAAGCAGCAUGUAUCGCAUUUAGUUAACUUGCUGUAGCUGGGCACUGUGCUUACAAGCUGCUACUGAGGCCCCUGUGCCCCAGGCAUGUCCUCAGUGCUGCGUGCUCUAGGGCAGCACUGUGCUGUCACUACCCCUUGCUUUGGGCCUUUUUCCUUAUUGAAUCCCUCCAGGAUUCGGGCUGUUUGAUUUCCAAACCCUUUCCUUGGUGCAGAGGGAGAAGCGGGGUGAGGAACUCCUUGCACUGGGAGCACGGUGUGCACAUCGUGGCUCCAGUAUGAGGCAAUCCUCCAAGGUUGGGGUUGCAUUCUGCUUGCUGUCUGUGCAACAGCUCCGUGCUGGGCACUAGAUGGCAGACAGUGACUGGGAAAUCCCAUUGUAGAGUUUCCCAUCCCUACCCCCUUAAAAUCACCUGCUCCAGAGUGGGGAACCUAAACCUCGAGUAAGGAAUCGCUAGUUCUUAACCUGGUGGCUUGAACUCCAAAGGGUCCCAAGGACCAGCAGAGGGUCGUGUUUGCUCCAUAGAGGCUCAGUGGAAUCUUUAGGAUAGGGAAAUAAGGCAAGGAUCAGGCAGCUGGGUUUGAUGAUGGAGGACGCUUGGGGCUGCUGGGCUCCCACGUGUCACGAGGGGGCAGGAGUGGCAAAAAUCCCUCCUCACCCUCCCUUACCGCCUGGGGUUUUGGCUUUGCCAACUGCUGCCCCUGACCCUACAGAGCUAAGGGUGAGACAGUCCCUGCAGUGCCAGGCAGCUGCUUGUCCCCCCAGGCAUGGAGCUGUGCAGCCGCAGACCCUCGCUGGGUGUUGUAGGUCCCCCUAAGCACCUUCCAACAAAAAGGGGAUUAUCUAUAGCUUGUUAGAGUCCUUGCAGGGAGGGAGAAUAAGGCUCUUUGCUCUGAAAUGUUCUCUUCCCUGGGAUUACAAGAUAAUGCAUGUGAAAUGACAUUAGCUCAGCCAGGUUUAUGGAUUAUUUGAAAAUCAAAUUCUUUUAAUCUCAUCCACCAUCUGGCACCAGCGGAGCAGCCAGCUUGCUGCCACUUCCACCCUGCCUGUGUCAGAGCAAGGGGACGUGCACCCUUUGCACUGGUGCCAGCCUUGUCCCCAUUCUUCUGACAGCAUAGAGGUGACAAGUCCGAUGAGCCAUGUAUAGGGAGGGGGUGAGGCUGGGUGACAGCCCUGCCUUCUCGCAGGGCACAGCCAGCCCCUGCUGCUGUUUGGUUGUUUCUUGGUUGGUUUUUUUUUUGUGGAGGGGACACGAAGCCAGGCACGCUGCAGCACUGCUCAGCUCUCGUAUUGGUGUCAUGAGUUGCUUUGCCCUCUUUGCUGAGCUUCAGUAGGACCAUCUAUCUUCCCUGUCUGCUCCAGAACAAUGCUGCGCCUACUACCAAGGAGCGUUAUAAUCUCAGUGCCCAUUUAACAUGAAUGAAAAGCCUUCUGGGACGAUAGGUCACGGUUAUACAAUUUAGCUCAAGUAGAGAAAAGGCCUUUAUAGCUAUGAAUAUAUGAAUACUUAAAAUAUAUACGUAACGUUGGUUAACACCGGGACAUAUAAGCAUAAUAUAUAUACAGCGCUGGGUUAACAGUUUGCUCCUUGGCUCCCUUUUCAGAAGGCUGUGGCUGUUCUGCCUGUCAGCUCCAUCCCAGCAGCAGUUCGUGGCUGGAGUCCCAACUCUGUGGUGGUACAUGGAGUGUUCAUCGUGGGCAGAGGGAUGCUGAGCAACUCAAUGUGGAUUGGGAUGCAAGCACUGUGGAUGCAAUGCCUCUGCCUGCAGGGCCACAGAAAUGACCAGAGGGAUGGAAUACCUCCCCUCCAAGGACAACCAUUGCUGUACAGGGCAGUGUCCCAGGAGUGACCCCAGCACCCACAGAGUCUCAUCAGCACGGCUGCUCUCGUGCCUCUUCGUGAUUUCAGCAAGGAAACAUCCACCUGUUCAGUCUUUUGAGUGCUUUGGGAUUCUCUUUGUCCUGUGUAUUGUGCCAGGCUCCUGUCACUUCCAGUGCUUAGAUCAGUGCUGAAUGUGAGAUUCCAACAUCGCUUAGAGUGCUUGGGUAAGUGGUGUCCUAUUUUCCUCCCCCUAGGACUGUAUAUCUGUGGGCUGGUUUGUUGUUUGUUUUUUUUCCUUAACCACGCUUUUGGCCGUAGUCUCUUUCUGUGAUGUAAGUGUUCUGACAAAUCUGACCCUAUGUUGCACAGCAGUUCUGCAUGAAUGAACCAGGUAGGUCAAGCAAUCUUCCUCUCUUCUUCCUUCCCCAAAGUUGAAAAAAAACAAACCACCACAAAAUAAUGACCCCACAACAUCAAACCUGGUGUGCAGGACCCAGUGUGUGCCGGGGACCCUACAAUAAUAAACCUGUGUGCACAGCCCAGUGCUGAUGAGCACUGACAUAGCUUCAAAUGUAGCAAUGUUCCUGCUGAUGUGUCCCUUCUGAGGAUAUCAGCAUCAGCGAUCCUUUUAGCUGUGAAGCAGGCAGGAUGACUCAUGAACCAUCCCGAUGCAAACAGUGUCAGUACCUUGAUGGUCCAUUGGGUUUCCAACCUGCGUCAGCAAAACCGGAGGUGAAGAGGGAAACGAGAGUGACAACACAACCUGAGUUUGAGGGGAGGAGGGCAAAUGCUAUGGAAAAUAAGAUUCCUACUGAACCUUUGUCUCCACUCCUCACCAGCCCCAUCCUGCAGGGAGAGCCAGCUCUCAGACCUUCAGGCACAGAAUGUUCCUGUCAUUUGUAGACAUUACGAAUGUUGAUUCUUGACAUGUUCUCCAAUGGGCUCCAAAUUCUUUCUCUGCCAACAGCCUGAAAGCAUCUUCCCUGCCUCUCUGCAGAGGUUUUCCAGGGCUGAUUCUCUGGGCACUAUGGGAUGUGUGUCCUCCUGAGUUGGACUGGGGGUUUCCUGGUGACCAUGGGCCAGCUGGCUUUGCAAAUCCCUCCCUAGAAUCUCAUUUAGCCUCCAGUACUGGCUCUUUUUCCCUGCGGUUCCUCCUUAGAGACCUGUUACGAUGAUCCUGCCCUGGCUGGUGUGGUAAGGUUCUCUUUGGAAAGAGCACAGGUGCCUGGAGAUUGGUUUGCAGUGAAUCGUGGGCUGCUGGUGCAAGAAGGCCUCCUUUCAUCAAGGCCACAAGCAGACCAGAAGUGGUAAAUGUGAGAAAGCUGUUAAGAGAAAACUUCAGAUGAUGUGAAUGCACUUGCAAUAAUUAAUGGCUCUUUUUAUCUGAAGAUACUUAAAAACUGACGUCUUCUAGAACCAUGAGAGUGAGCUCUUUGGGAUAAACAAGAAAGAGUGCUUCUUUUUUUAAAGAUGUUUCAACCAAUGCAUGCGUUUAAUGCAUCCCUGUGCAUCUCUCCCUAUAUGAAACCCUUAAGAGAAGAAAAACUGGUGAGAGACCUUGGUUUGGAUCCAGAGGCACCUGGGCUGGAGCAUGACCUGUGAUUCAGAUGUCACCUUCGCUGAGUGCUGAAUGGGGUGAGGAUCCCCCUGUUCUUGCAGCAAAGAGUUUUCUCCACCUUCAUCCUUCCAUCCUUCAUUAUUGCCCCAAUCUGGUGGGUUACCCUUCCCCUAGGUGCUACAGCAGAAGCAAACCUGAUGGAGCUAUAGGCAGGAUGGGUGAGUAUCGAACUGAAGCUGGGCUUCAGUUAAAUCUGGCUUUUGAUGCCCCAGUUGGAUCUUAAAAAGGGUUUCACUGUUCCUGAAGCAGAAAUGUAAGAGAAUGCUCUGCAUCUGUUUACCAUGCAGAAGGGUCAAAAACAGCUCUAUCCCCCCCCCAGGGUCCCUGUAGUUUCUCUAGCAGAAUUAAAAGGCACACGCAGAGCUGUAGCAGCAGGGUGAGGAGGAGAGCAGAGCAGAGGGAACAGAAGCACCGAGCCUUCGUUUCAUCCCACCUGCGCUGCGGUGGUGACUUGCCCCGAAGAGUCGCAGGAAAAUCCUGUGUAAAUGGAACAUAAAUGUUUUAUGAAUUCAGCCCUGGUGGAGUAAAUUAAAGGGUCAUUAAUGGCCUCAUUAAAGAGCUUUGCACUUUGUUCUGAAUUAUGAAAGCUAUUGUGCAAUGUUAAACUAAAUGGAGUUUUCGUUGAGAUUUUGAAACUCUUUGACUAGUUCUCUCCCCCCCUUUCUCUUUAUUUCUUUUCUUCCCCUUCUUUUUUUAGUUGUUGAUGAGAAAUGUCUUUUGAGGGAGCCGCCUGUAGUGCUACAAACUAGAUUUCAAUUAUAAAUCUUCUUAUGCUCCACUAAUUGCCCAGAAUUUUUCUCGAGAGCUGCCUGAGGUUAAUGCUGAUGAAGAAAGAGCUCUUUUGUCUUUUCUUCAACUGGGGCCUCCCUCACCGCCUCUGGCGAGACGUCAAGCUGGGAAUUACCUCCAGUGACACCCAGAUGGGACGUGGAAGGAACAACAGAUGAGUUGGUCAUGGCUUCUUCUUGGCUCGCUGCGGGUUGGGGAGAAGCCUUCACAAUCUCCAGGGCUGCCAGCUGACCCAGGGAAGUGUUGGAGUCCAUCUCCUCCAUUUUACUCUUCCACUCUGAAAGAGUUGGUGGUACAUUGGCACAGCUGCACAGGGAGGUGGUGGAGUCACCAUCCCCAUCAAGAACCAUGAGGAUGUGGCACUGAGGGAUGUGGUCAGUGGGCAUGGCAGGGUUGGGUCAAUAGUUGGACUAAAUGAUCUCUUCAACAAGCCCUCCCUGCCCCACUAAUGCUCAUUUUCUUUGACUUGUUGACUUGCCCUCUGUAAAUUCUUUGCACAGCGACAUGACAAAUUAAACCCCUUAUUAACUAAUUAAGCUAUUUCUCCAACCAGGCAGGAAGGCAAGAGGAGGUUGUUAUUCUUCCUAUUUUUAAAUACCUGCGAGAGGCACACGUGUCUGAGAUGCAUGGUGGAUGGCUCCAGCUGAGCUGUACCAUUGCAGCCUGACACCUUUAUAACAAAAUCCAUCAGGGCAGGAACUUGCUUGUUUUUCUGUUUGGUUUGCACAUCUGGGGGUAAUUUUGGUGUCCAGAAGGGUCCCCUGUGCAUCCAGGUGUUCAAGAACCAUGGAGUUGUGGCACUGAGAGACAUGUGGUUAGGGACAUGGUGGGGACGGGUCAACAGUUGGGCUGGAUGGCCUUAGAGGUCUUUUACAACUCUUAAUGAUUGCUUGAUUCUGUGAUUCUUUAAUGGGCCUUACAGCUCAGGGCAGGCACAGAAUCUAGUGCUGCAGCCUGCAAGCCCAGGUUUGCUUUGAAGUUGGUGAGGUUUUCUGGCAUUUCAGCAAAAUCAGAGCUGAGCAGCAACAUGUCCUACACUAGUGAUGUCCUCUCCUGGUCUCCUUGCAGCUCCAUCAUCCCUCUUUCUUCGAAGCAUGGCCCCCUGCAUGGACCUGAAUGCAGCCUUGUAUCAUCAGCUGACAAAGCCCUGUGGUCAUGCUGUUGUGAGCAGGAAUGCCCGAUCCUCUGAGGAGAUGCUUCAGCACCAAACUUCUGCCUGAUGCUGAUGGGCUCACGUGGAGCACAGACCUUCAUGUUGGAGAGCUUUUAUGCCAAGGAGUGAGGAUUUGUUCCUUCUCCCAUCUGUUUCUGUGGCUGAAGGUGCCCUGUGAACUGUACUUCUGAGACAACCAGGUGCUCAGAACUGCUCAGGACCACCAAUGAAAUCUGCUGCUGGGACUCCAUCCUGCUGCUGCUGGAGAAGGUGACACACUGCUGAUAAAAGGGAGUAUCAAUGCUGUGAGCAUUUGAACUGACAGCUACCAGAUUGAGAGCUGCCUGUAGGAGCUGAAUCCUGUAUCCUCCACACCUCUGCAUCCUGGCUUGGCUGGACGGGGCAAGAACAAGGAUUGCCCAUAAGAACCACAUUGGAGAGACCUCCCUGGAAGGAUGUGAGCUUCGAAGUCCUGCAGAGUGUGUGGGCAGCAGACUGGAGGAGACACAAUCAACCUCAGAACACCAGCUCCUUCCUUGCAAAAUAAGCCUCAGUCCAGCCAGCAAGAAAGCAGUAGCUGCCCUAUUUCCAGGGCUGGUGGGAGUGCAAAGCCCCCUCAUCCCCAUAUUCAUCAUUGUCAGCUGCAGGUUCUUCUGUAGCUUCCAACUGGUCAGGACUGUGCCAUGCCCAUGGGACCCAGGGAUCAUCCUUGCACCAUGAACUACUGCCAGGACUUGCUGUGUUCUCAUGUCACGUAUGUCCAUGCAUCUGCAUCUGAGCAUGUUCUUGACUUGCCCAGUACACACAGGUACACUGUAUGUGCUCUAUGCUUAUAUGUGUGUUACCUUUUUGUUGUAUCCAGACCUCCAUUGCAUACAUCAUCAGGAUGCUGAUUGCUUUCCCCAUGAUGGGCUGGACUGUGAAGACCAUUGAGCUGCCAACGUACCUGUGGACUCUGGGACACCAAUGCACCUGUAGAGAGCUAGUGAAUCACAACAUCACUUACGUGUUAACUGCUUUGAAAUGCAAAGCAUUCCCUUGAUAUUUCAGCAUUUUCCACCCGGUCCAAAGCAAAACCCCAUAGGUAGAGAACAAUGGGGAGCUGCUCGAGGUAAGGCUUCCACCUUGUGUCUGGUACAACGAUUGCAUCAGCAUUCAUUACAAUGGAACUUGCUGCCCUUUAAAGCAGUUCGGCACAUGCUGUAUUCUCAGAUUUCCUGCUUCUGACUGGCUCUGCUCUGAACUGCUUCCCUGCAUGCAUUCAAAACAGUUUGUAAUUAACAAUUACAUUGUUUUCCUUUGAACGUCAACGGAGAUACAGAAAACAGAGAUUGAGAGCCGAGAUGUUGGUAUGACUGGGUAUUAUUUUGCUUUCAUGAGAUGACUUUUCCUAUUUUGCUGCAGAUUUUGGUGCUGAUGAAAAGCUGGGGCAGUGUGCAGGCAGCCAGGAGGCUUUCUCUCCUAUCACUAUGGGGAAGCAGGAAAUUUAGGCUUGGACACCCUGCCCAUGCAGAACGCAUUCUGGACACUAUUGCUGCAUUCACAAAAUAGCGCUCAGCAGAAAAACCUGCAGAGAAGGAUGAGGAAAACCAAGACUAUACAGGCUUCUGAGCUACCAGCAUGUUGAAGCAGAGGGGGCUGUGUUUGAAGCCUUGGCUCUGUGAACAAGAAGCAGAUUACAAACUUCUUCAGUUCUGGUGCAGAGCUUGGAUGGGAGGAUUGCUCCCUCCAUCUGUUCCUCGCAUAGGCAAUCUGCCUUCGAAAGCCAUCACUGCUUAAGUAUGAAGGAAGCGUAAAUGCAGGAGCACCUGAAUAUUGUUUAACAGAUGGGGACACACAUUUUUUUUCAGGCAGAGAUUUCCUUUCCAUAGCCCCACUUAUUUUAGAGGUGUUUUUCAGGACCAUCUUUCCAAUGCCUGGAAGUAGGAUCCCAGCCUGCUGUUUGUGAUGAUGGUAGUUAAUUUCCAGCAACUCACUUUGCUGUUGUGACACUUGUGAAGAUUGCUUUCAUCUCUUUCCUUUACAACUAAGCUCACGUUUUUCAUCCAAGCCUUCCGGGAGGAUCAGACUCUGCCACACACUUUGCCCUGGGACCAAAAAAGUGGCUGGAGUUCAUCCCUACCAUUAUGACACACUCAGGCAAACCUGAUGAAGCACACAGCCAGGCUGCAGCCCAUGGAUGCCUCUACCCACAUGCACAUCUUCCUUCCCUGCCCUUCUCACUUGUCCUUGCCCCUUUUGCAUUAAUAUGUACAGUACAGUGGCUUUUGGCUUCAUCAACCCAAGGACCGCUACAUAUCUUCCAAUGGGAGCGCUGUUGUAGACUGCUGAGCGGCAGAAAGGAAAGUGCUUUUCUUUGCAACUUUAUGACAAUUCCAUGCAAACAGAUGGUGGACCCCAUGCCUCAGGGACUGCACGUUGAAGCCACCACCUCGCUGAGUUGGUGACACCAAAAGAAAUGUGUCAUAUGGACCCCCACAAAAAGCCUAUCUACCGCAAGAAGUCACAGCUGGAGUAGAAGGGGAAGGAAGAAGUGAAAAUAUAGGCACAGAGGAUGGACCUCAGAUUUCUCAGUUUUUAUCUCACUUCCCCUUCCCGUUCUUUAGUCACCAUAUUCUUUCCAGGAGAAAGUGGCUGUUGGAAAACAGAGAGAGAAGACGACAAACACUGCUGUGGAAUUAUUUAACGAGCCAGAAUGAAUUGCAUUCGAAAUCAUUUAAAUGGGAUCUGGGAGUAUUUAACUGCAGCACAGGAACUUAACAAGAGUGGGAAAGGAUUUUGUGCUAAUUGCUGGCAAUGAUAUACCUACGGAGAGAGAACAUGCAGCAAUUAGUAAGUAAGGCUGUAAUUUCAGCCUAAGGUCCCCGCCUGCCCUGGAAUAUGGCAUUGGAUUAUCUGCUGCAAGGAAGACAGGGACUUGGUCUGCAGGUGACCAAAGGGCAGCAGAUGAGGUUCUCAUUAAGGAGUUAUUAGCCAAGAUUGUCACACAGGAGAUGGGUCUGCUCAGACCCCACUGCACCUUUCCCAACUUGAUUUAGUUCAAAUUGAUAAAACUGAGGGAAACCAAGAGUUCCAUCCCAACAUGUGCUGUGCUGCUUUGUCCCUUCCUACCUGCAGGGACUGAUCCCACCACCAGCACCUGCUCUGAGCUGUGAGUCUACACAGAGCACAGUAGGCUGAGAACCUACAUGGCCAUUUCUUGGUGGGUUAGGAAGCCAGGCCAUCCUCUGUACUGCUGGGUUUGGGAAAUGGUGAGCUGGAAGCUGAGCUGGAGAACAAGGACCUGUUUUUCCUAUAGAAAUACCAAUACAGUCAGACCAUAUGAUGCCACUGUUCUAAACCUGCAAACCUCAGGUACAACUGAUACCCACCAACAUGUCCACAAGCCCAGCUCCCAAAGAAUUAUCCAACAGCAUCCAACUAUCGGCUAAGACAGAAAGCCACCCUGCCUGGCUAAGCCUCUGCCACCUGACUGUGGCACAAAGCCUCUGCUCAUUGUUUUCUAUCUCUGUUCUCUCCCCACGAUGCCUCUGUCAUUGGUUUUUGUCUUUCAAUCAGUUUUCAUCUCAGUAAUUCCCAUUCAAUGGUUAGUCUCUGAUCUUUCUAAUUGAGAUCAGAGCUUCAUGUAAUAGGGAGGGGGGAGGGAGACUAUUUUUAAUUUGCUGCGUUCCCAUUAAUAACAAGUUCUAAUUAAAAAACCUCCAUCUUCCAUCCUCCCAAGUUCAGAGGAAAACUGCGACUUCUGUUGGAAUCUUCUCCUGAUAAAUUGGUACUACAGCCUCCUAGAACAGCUGGUCCUCUUUAGCAGGCAUCGUAAUUAAUGGGAAUAAUAAAUGCAUUCAAAGCAG